AAUUAUAUUCCGGUUCUCGUUAGAUCACCGAAGUCAAGCAUCAUUGGGCGCGGUCAGUACUUGGGUGGGUGACCACCUGGGAACACCGCGUGCCGU
rnacentral:rRNA from 1 species